GACGAACGCUGGCGGCGUGCCUAAUACAUGCAAGUCGAACGCAGUGGGGACGGGUGAGUAACACGUGUGUAAUCUCCCAUCAGAGGGGAAAACACUUGGAAACAGGUGCUAAACCGAUACGGAUGGAUGGACCCGCGGUGCAUUAGCUAGUUGGGGAGGUAACGGCUCACCAAGGCCACGAGGAAUACCCUAGCUGAGAGGGCGAUCAGCCACGCUGGGGUUGAGACACGGCUCAGAACCCUACGGGAGGCGACAGUAGGGAGUCUUCGGCUAUGGAAGGAAGUCUGACCGGACAACGCCGCGUGAUUGGACAACGUUUUCGGAUCGUAAGACUCUGUUGGCAGAGAAGCCGUAUCUAGCCAGAACGCCAAGGCUAACUACGGGCCAGCAGCCGCGGUAAUAC
rnacentral:rRNA from 1 species